UGACCUCGGAUCAGGUAGGAAUACCCGCUGAACUUAAGCAUAUCAAUAAGGGGGAGGA
rnacentral:rRNA from 1 species